GACGAACGCUGGCGGCGUGCCUAAUACAUGCAAGUCGAACGAACCGCGACUGAGUGCUUGCACUUGGUCAAGGUGAGUGGCGAACGGGUGAGUAACACGUGGGUAACCUACCUCAUAGUGGGGGAUAACAGUCGGAAACGACUGCUAAUACCGCAUAGGACAUGGAAUCACAUGAUUCUGUGAGGAAAGGUGGCGCAAGCUAUCGCUAAGAGAUGGACCCGCGGUGCAUUAGCUAGUUGGUAGGGUAAGGGCCUACCAAGGCGAUGAUGCAUAGCCGACCUGAGAGGGUGAUCGGCCACAUUGGGACUGAGACACGGCCCAAACUCCUACGGGAGGCAGCAGUAGGGAAUCUUCCGCAAUGGACGCAAGUCUGACGGAGCAACGCCGCGUGAGUGAAGAAGGUCUUCGGAUCGUAAAGCUCUGUUGUUAGAGAAGAACAGCGCAUAGAGUAACGGUUAUGCGUGUGACGGUAUCUAACCAGAAAGCCACGGCUAACUACGU
rnacentral:rRNA from 1 species